GCUGGGUAUGGUGGCUCACGCCUGUAAUCCUAGCACCUUGGGAGGCUGCGACAGGAGGAUCCCUUGAGCCCAGGAGAUCGAGAUCAGCCUGGGCAACAAAGGGAGACCCUGUCUCUA
rfam:Gorilla gorilla gorilla genomic chromosome, chr17, whole genome shotgun sequence